AAUGAACGUUGGCGGCGUGGAUUAGGCAUGCAAGUCGAGCGCGAACCGUAGCAAUACGGGGAGAGCGGCGAAAGGGAGAGGAAUACGUGGAUACCUACCCUCAGGUUCAGGAUAGCUAUGGGAAACUAUAGGUAAUACUGAAUAAUAUCUCCGGAUCAAAGGUGUGAUUCCACCUGAGGAGGGUCCGCGUCCUAUUAGCUAGUUGGUGAGGUAACGGCUCACCAAGGCGAAGAUGGGUACGGGAUGUGAGAGCAUGAUCCCGCUCACUGGGACUGAGACACUGCCCAGACACCUACGGGUGGCUGCAGUCGAGAAUCUUCGGCAAUGGGGGGAAACCCUGACCGAGCGACGCCGCGUGCGAGAUGAGGGCCUUCGGGUUGUAAAGUCGCUGUCAGUGGGA
rnacentral:rRNA from 1 species